rnacentral:tRNA from 1 species
CCGCCAUUAGCUCAGCAGGAAGAGCAAACGACCAUUUAAGUUGUAGGUACGGGGUUCGAGACCUCGAUGGCGGACCA